UAUCAAAAUUGCCCUAAAAAUUUAUCCUAGUGGGGAUGAAGGUGGAAUAAUUAGUGUGCAUAUUAUUUUUCUUAAUUUUAAUGUCAAAACAAACAAAAGGGGCCAUUGGUAAAUCAAAAUACUUUAGUGGAUGUGUUUGAUCGAGAAAGACACUUUUUGCACUUUGAUGUAUUUAAAGCAAACCAUGGAGGGAUACAUAAAAGUUUCCGUGUAAACGUAGUAUUGCAGAGUGCUUGCAGUUCCUGUCACUUUCAUACUCCCCUUAAGAAACAUAAUCUCAGGCGAGAAGAUAUCAGAGUUAAAUUGCUAAGAGCCAAGUUUACGAUCGUGUAUAAAUAUUCUCUUUGAAAGUGUCCGAGAAAUGAUUUGAUCCAAAAUUUUAAGCUAAUAAGAUUUAAGGCUCUGGAAUAACACUAAAGGCAAGUCUCAGAAGUCUCAAGGGUCUCCCUCCAUGAAACGUAGACUAAGACAAGAUCUAAUAGCAUAUAUACAUGAGCCGAGAGAAAAGAGUUCGAAAGUGAACCAAAGAGCUUGCACGCAAGAGGGGGGUAAACACUAGAUCUUGGCACUAAUAUUAUGACAGAGAAAUUACUUGAUCCAAAGGCUUAAAAUGAUAUGCCAGAGACUAACAAUAAUAUUAAAAGCAAGUCUUAACAGAAAAAUAAGCUUAUAGUAUAAAAUACUGCACGUUUAGGUUUAAACAAAUGGAUAUAGCAGAGCAAUAUGUAACAAUCCAAUAAUGCUUAUUUCUUUUUAUUUUAGUAAUUGAGUUUUGUUACAAGAUAGAUUCUGAAACAGUUUUACACACACACACUACUCAACCUUGCUUAGCAAGGCAAUCAAACAUGACUUAUUAGGAAAAGAGAAAAUUGAAACAAAAUUAAGAUGAAGCAUGCAUGUCUCAUCAUCAUCGUCUGCUGCUUAUGAAGUUGCAGGGACCAAGCGUCUGGAGCAAAUUGUGCAGUAGAAUUUCUUCUUAACUUUAUGAGAGAUUGGAAGAAAACAAAAUCUCAAAUGGGCAUCAAAAUCUAUUGCCAGCACAGGCCCUCCACAGUAUGGGCAAGCUGCAUCAGCUCCAUUUCUCCUAAUCACCUUUUCUCGCAGAUCGAAUAUUGACAACACACUCAUUUUUCUCUUUUUGUUGGGGGACGUUGUUGUAAGCAAUGCUUGUUCUCAAUACAUUUAUUUAUGCACAUAAUACUUGAAUAUUUGGGCAUGCAACUUCUUUGGAGUUUCAUUUUUAAAGCUGUUUCUUAGCUGGGGCGCUAUUUUUUUUGUUUUUUUAGUUACAACUGUUAAAGAACUUGGUAUUUUGCUCGAACUGAUUGGUGAUGUUCACGUUUGGUGCGUUUAAAGCAAGAAAUGAAUCAAUUGAGAAGCUGCGAAGAAAUUGGUAUUGAAAGCAGCGAAGUUCGCUCCACGUCAAAAAAAUGGUGCUUGACUGUUUGACUUCUUGGACAUUUUAGCUGCGGUUUCUCACUGAGCCCGUGUUUUUAAUUACAAUAGAAGCUUUACACCCUGGAUUUUGAUGUAACUGAUGUAUUCAUUUGACGCACCGCACCAUAUUAUGUGAAAAGAAAGGAAUAAAAUCCUUUUUUUUAUCCGAAUAUUAUUGAAUUUUAAUGAUUUUUUAUUAUGUGUCUUUUAGUGAUAGUGUAUGGAUAAGAUUUAAUUUUUUUUUAUUUUUUUAUUUAUUAACAAUCAAUCAGUGAUUGAGUUAUUUACUCAUGACAUAAUCAGAUCAGAAGAAAAUCUUGAUCCGAAAAGAAAAUAGAUUAAAAUGUGCAACAUGUUUACAUGCUGCAUCACUUGGGAAGGUUGUAAGUUAUGAGCUCAUAAUUUGUGAUCCCCUUUGAGUCUAUUAGGAUUCUUUUCGGGUGGGCUUGGGCAGUACCAAAAGAAUGAGAUCCAAAGGGUGAAGGAGACAAUAUCUUGUUAGUGGAUCGGCCGUUACAUUAGAAUAGAUUGAGUUACAAGUGGGAUGAUGUUAUUCUUUUUUUUUAAUUAAUAUUAUUUAUUUUAGAAUUUCCCUUAUUGCACAAUAAAUAUUUUUUCUCCUCCCUCAGGAUCUCAAUAGACUAACUGACCACGUCUCACAUCUCUUUCUUUUCUUUUUCUUUUUUUUAAAUUGAUUCGCAAUUUGAAUGAAAUGUUAACUCACAGUCAAAUCCCCAACUAAAAUUAAACAAAAUCUUAUAAAAUCACAAGAAGUAAGGUCAAUAUCAUUAAUAACAACAAAAUCCAUCACUUGUUCAUAAAAUUUAAUAAAACUCAAUAUUGAAACUCGUCGUAUGUUGAUGGAUUUAUGUACCUGUUGUCGAUGAAGAUAGAUCGUAGAGGUGAUAAUUAUACUAGAGAGAGAGAGAAAGAGACGGGGUGGGGAAAGAGGGAAAAAAUAGAAUAAAAUAAUUAUUUUUUAAUUAAGAAUGAUUCAGAAAUAUUAUAAAAUAAAUUAAAAAGUGGUGGCCGGUAAGAUAGUUUGAGAAGAUCAAAUAUUAUUACUCUUAUCUCUUGACUUGCCAUUGCUCGGUCUUUUUUUUCUUUUUUCAAAAUGGACUUAUCGUUACAUUAGGAUAAAUUAA
rnacentral:lncRNA from 1 species